rnacentral:rRNA from 2 species
UUAAAUUGAAGAGUUUGAUCAUGGCUCAGAUUGAACGCUGGCGGCAGGCCUAACACAUGCAAGUCGAGCGGUAGCGGAAAGUAGCUUGC